UGGAUAAUCCUGCUAUUUAGUUCGUUCAAAAGCCUGAAAGGCCAGCUGUCCAGUCCUUCUUGAUUCAGAGGGAAGCAGCGCUCUCUCUGUAUAUACGACCCAGUCACGUGAGUUGGCACCAUGAAAUCCUGAGAGACUGACGAGGUUCACGUAACAAGCAUACAGUCCACUACACAAAUGGAAUGAUGCUGCACUGGACUGAACCAAGACAGACCAUGAAUACAUUGUGAAGACUGAUGCAUGGACAAAGUUCUUGGUCAACCAAUGAAACGGUCAUUCAUGAAAAGCUGAUGCUACGACCAGUAAGCCUUGUGCUGAUCAUCAUGCCAUGUUCAUCCAACUGGCAUCCUCACUUUCUGCCCCGACCACCUCAACUCUCAUUCUUUAUGUCACUUGUGAUCAAGGACGUGGUGAGGCCCUAAGCUAUACGGCAGAAAGGUAU